rnacentral:rRNA from 1 species
AAUAGAUACCCAGGUAGUCCACGCCGUAAACGAUGAGUGCUAAGUGUUGGAGGGUUUCCGCCCUUCAGUGCUGCAGCUAACGCAUUAAGCACUCCGCCUGGGGAGUACGGUCGCAAGACUGAAACUCAAAGGAAUUGACGGGGGCCCGCACAAGCGGUGGAGCAUGUGGUUUAAUUCGAAGCAACGCGAAGAACCUUACCAGGUCUUGACAUCUCCUGACUGCCCUGGAGACAGGGUCUUCCCUUCGGGGACAGGAUGACAGGUGGUGCAUGGUUGUCGUCAGCUCGUGUCGUGAGAUGUUGGGUUAAGUCCCGCAACGAGCGCAACCCUUGGUUCUAGUUGCCAGCAUUCAGUUGGGCACUCUAGAGCGACUGCCGGCGACAAGUCGGAGGAAGGUGGGGAUGACGUCAAAUCAUCAUGCCCCUUAUGACCUGGGCUACACACGUGCUACAAUGGAUGGUACAAAGGGCAGCGAAGCGGCGACGCAUGAGCGAAUCCCAGAAAACCAUUCUCU